GACGAACGCUGGCGGCGUGCUUAACACAUGCAAGUCGAACGGAAAGGCCCUGCUUGCAGGGUACUCGAGUGGCGAACGGGUGAGUAACACGUGGGUGAUCUGCCCUGCACUUCGGGAUAAGCCUGGGAAACUGGGUCUAAUACCGGAUAGGAGCCAUUUUUAGUGUGAUGGUUGGAAAGUUUUUUCGGUGUAGGAUGAGCUCGCGGCCUAUCAGCUUGUUGGUGGGGUAAUGGCCUACCAAGGCGGCGACGGGUAGCCGGCCUGAGAGGGUGGACGGCCACAUUGGGACUGGGAUACGGCCCAGACUCCUACGGGGGGCAGCAGUGGGGAAUAUUGCACAAUGGGCGCAAGCCUGAUGCAGCGACGCCACGUGGGGGAUGACGGCCUUCGGGUUGUAAACUCCGUUCGCUAGGGACGAAGCUUUUUGUGACGGUACCUAGAUAAGAAGCACCGGCUAACUACGUG
rnacentral:rRNA from 1 species